rnacentral:antisense_RNA from 2 species
UAUAAAGUUAUUCCUUUGUGAAUGAUUUUGGUUGGCAUAGAGAAAAACAUUUAGUCGUGAUAUUUCUCUAUGCUUUUAUUAUACCA